rnacentral:rRNA from 1 species
AUGUUGAAUGACAGGAUAAACACAUGUGAACUUUUGACUCGAAAAAGAAUGCAACUUGACUCCACCACAUGUGUUUUAUGUAAUGUUGAAGAUAUGGAAGAUAGAACUCACCUCCUUUUCACCUGCCCAUUCAGUCAAGGAUUUUGGUGGACCAUUGGACUAGAAUGGAAAUCUGAUCUUGACAUCCACAAUAUGGUAAUGGAUGCUAAUCACAGAUACAAAAUCAAACAUUUCAUGGAAAUUAUGAUAGUGGGUUGCUGGAGCAUUUGGAACCAAAGAAAUGGGAUGAUAUUUGAGGGAAUUCCUUGCUCAAUAAAUGAAUGCAAGUUUGAUUUCAUCAGGUCUUUCAAGAUCACAAUAAUGAGAGCUAAACCAUCUCUAAAGGAUGGCAUGUCAUCCUGGAUUGAUAACAUUUAG